rnacentral:rRNA from 1 species
GAUGAACGCUGGCGGCGUGCCUAAUACAUGCAAGUCGAGCGAACGGACGAGAAGCUUGCUUCUCUGAUGUUAGCGGCGGACGGGUGAGUAACACGUGGAUAACCUACCUAUAAGACUGGGAUAACUUCGGGAAACCGGAGCUAAUACCGGAUAAUAUUUUGAAACGCAUGGUUCAAAAGUGAAAGACGGUCUUGCUGUCACUUAUAGAUGGAUCCGCGCUGCAUUAGCUAGUUGGUAAGGUAACGGCUUACCAAGGCAACGAUGCAUAGCCGACCUGAGAGGGUGAUCGGCCACACUGGAACUGAGACACGGUCCAGACUCCUACGGGAGGCAGCAGUAGGGAAUCUUCCGCAAUGGGCGAAAGCCUGACGGAGCAACGCCGCGUGAGUGAUGAAGGUCUUCGGAUCGUAAAACUCUGUUAUUAGGGAAGAACAUAUGUGUAAGUAACUGUGCACAUCUUGACGGUACCUAAUCAGAAAGCCACGGCUAACUACGUG